UCUUUUUUUCAAGUGAAAAAUGGUAAUCUUACAUAUGUUUAAUGUAGUUUUUUCAUUUUUUAUGCUGUAUGUUUAAAUAUUAUUUAUAAUUUUCGAAAAUUAGUAAUAUUAAAAUGUAAAACUAUAUUUUAUGCCACGUGUCAUUUUUCGGAAGAAGUUUUUUUUGCUUAUGUGGACGCUCUAUGGAGCCUCAAGGUUAUAUAGCAAAUUACAUGAGUUUAUGGGUGUAUCUACGCCAAUUACUCUAUAUUUAAUGUAGUAUUUCUAUUUUUUAUGUUGUAUGUUUACAUAUAUUUGUUAUUUUCGAAAUUAUAUAUAAUGUUUUUUGUUUUUUUUAUAAAACGGUAUUAUUACAUUAUGGAAUUAAGCCGUCUUUUUUUUUAAAGUGAAAAAUGGUAAUUUUACAUAGGUUCAAUGUAGUUUUUCUAUUUUUUAUGUUGUAUGUUUCAUAUUAUUUAUAAUUUUUGAAAAUUAGUAAUAUUAAAAUGUAAAACUAUAUUUUAUGCCACGUGUCAUCUUUCGGGAGAAUUUUUUUCGCUGAUAUGGACGCUCUAUGGAGCCUCAAAAAGUCCCUUUUAUUGGUAAUAUUACAUUAUGGAAUUAAACCGUCUUUUUUUUUAAAGUGAAAAAUGGUAAUUUUACAUAUGUUCAAUGUAGUUUUUCUAUUUUUUAUGUUGUAUGUUUCAUAUUAUUUAUAAUUUUUGAAAAUUAGUAAUAUUAAAAUGUAAAACUAUAUUUUAUGCCACGU
rnacentral:lncRNA from 1 species